GGUCGGUUAGCUCAGUUGGUUAGAGCGUGGUGCUAAUAUGAGUCUUGAAUGUACUUGUACACGCCAAGGUCGCGGGUUCGACCCCCGUACUGACCA